AUUGAACGCUGGCGGCAGGCCUAACACAUGCAAGUCGAACGAGUGGCGGACGGGUGAGUAAUGUCUGGGAAACUGCCUGAUGGAGGGGGAUAACUACUGGAAACGGUAGCUAAUACCGCAUACCAUCUGAUUUGCCCAGAUGGGAUUAGCUAGUAGGUGGGGUAAAGGCUCACCUUGUCGACGCUCCCUAGCUGGUCUGCGAGGAUGACCAGCCAAACUGGAACUGAGACACGGUCCGGACUCCUACGGGAGGCAGCAGUGGGGAAGAUUGCACAAGGGGCGCAAGCCUGAUGCAGCCAGGCCGCGUGUAUGAAGAAGGCCUUCGGGUUGUAAAGUACUUUCAGCGGGGAGGCGGUACCCGCAGAAGAAGCACCGGCUAACUCCGUGCCAGCAGCCGCGGUAAUAC
rnacentral:rRNA from 1 species